UACGUAGGGUCCGAGCGUUGUCCGGAAUUAUUGGGCGUAAAGGGCGCGUAGGCGGCUUUGCAAGUGACGGGUGAAAUCCCUCGGCUUAACCGAGGAACUGCCUGUCAGACUGUGAGGCUUGAGACCGGGAGAGGGAUGCGGAAUUCCAGGUGUAGCGGUGAAAUGCGUAGAUAUCUGGAGGAACACCGGUGGCGAAGGCGGCAUCCUGGACCGGCAUUGACGCUGAGGCGCGAAAGCCAGGGGAGCAAACGGG
rnacentral:rRNA from 1 species